rnacentral:rRNA from 1 species
CCUACGGGUGGCUGCAGUGGGGAAUAUUGGACAAUGGGCGAAAGCCUGAUCCAGCCAUGCCGCGUGUGUGAAGAAGGCCUUCGGGUUGUAAAGCACUUUCAGUGGGGAAGAAAGCCUUGGGGCUAAUACCCUCGAGGAAGGACAUCACCCACAGAAGAAGCACCGGCUAACUCCGUGCCAGCAGCCGCGGUAAUACGGAGGGUGCGAGCGUUAAUCGGAAUUACUGGGCGUAAAGCGCGCGUAGGCGGUCUGGUAAGCCGGUUGUGAAAGCCCCGGGCUCAACCUGGGAACGGCAUCCGGAACUGUCAGGCUAGAGUGCAGUAGAGGAAGGUAGAAUUCCCGGUGUAGCGGUGAAAUGCGUAGAGAUCGGGAGGAAUACCAGUGGCGAAGGCGGCCUUCUGGACUGACACUGACGCUGAGGUGCGAAAGCGUGGGUAGCAAACAGGAUUAGAUACCCCGGUAGUC